rnacentral:rRNA from 1 species
CCUACGGGGGGCUGCAGUGGGGAAUUUUGCGCAAUGGGCGAAAGCCUGACGCAGCAACGCCGCGUGGGUGAUGAAGGUCUUCGGAUCGUAAAACCCUGUCGUCGAGGACGAAGGUGGGGGUGUUAAUAGCAUCCUUGCUUGACGGUACUCGGAGAGGAAGCCCCGGCUAACUCUGUGCCAGCAGCCGCGGUAAUACGGAGGGGGCAAGCGUUAUUCGGAAUUAUUGUGCGCGAUGUGCGCAGACGGAGGUGUAAUCCCCGAGCUCAACUUGGGAACUGCAUCUGAGACUGGAAGGCUAGAGUACUGGAGAGGGUGGGAGAAUUCCACGUGUAGCGGUGAAAUGCGUAGAGAUGUGGAGGAAUACCAGUGGCGAAGGCGGCCACCUGGACAGUAACUGACGCUGAGGCGCGAAAGUGUGGGUAGCAAACAGGAUUAGAUACCCUUGUAGUC